CUGAGUACGGCGGAACACGUGAAAUUCCGUCGGAAUCCGGGAGGACCAUCUCCCAAGGCUAAAUACUCCCUAGUGACCGAUAGUGAACCAGUACCGUGAGGGAAAGGUGAAAAGCACCCCGGAAGGGGAGUGAAACAGUUCCUGAAACCGUGUGCCUACAAGUAGUUAGAGCCCGUUAAUGGGUGAUAGCGUGCCUUUUGUAGAAUGAACCGGCGAGUUACGAUUUGUUGCAAGGUUAAGCGGAAAAAGCGGAGCCGUAGCGAAAGCGAGUCUGAAUAGGGCGCAUAAGUAACAGGUCGUAGACCCGAAACCAGGUGAUCUACCCAUGUCCAGGAUGAAGGUAAGGUAAUACUUACUGGAGGUCCGAACCCACGCACGUUGAAAAGUGCGGGGAUGAGGUGUGGGUAGCGGAGAAAUUCCAAUCGAACUUGGAGAUAGCUGGUUCUCUCCGAAAUAGCUUUAGGGCUAGCCUCGAGGU
rnacentral:rRNA from 1 species